rnacentral:rRNA from 1 species
UACGAAGGGGGCUAGCGUUGCUCGGAAUCACUGGGCGUAAAGGGCGCGUAGGUGGCCCUGUAAGUCAAAGGUGAAAUCCCUCGGCUUAACCGGGGAACUGCGUCUGAUACUGGAUGGCUUGAGAUUGGGAGAGGGAUGCGGAAUUCCAGGUGUAGCGGUGAAAUGCGUAGAUAUCUGGAGGAACACCGGUGGCGAAGGCGACAUCCUGGACCAACACUGACGCUGAGGAGCGAAAGCCAGGGGAGCAAACGGG